rnacentral:rRNA from 1 species
UAGCAAUAUUCUCUAGUCGGAGUGGCGCAAGGGUGCGUAACACGUGGGUAAUCUGCCGUGAAGCCUGGGAUAACUCGCUGAAAGGCGAGCUAAUACCGGAUGUGAUGAUUGGUUGGCAUCGAUUGAUCAUUAAAGCUGGGGACCGCAAGGCCUGGCAUUUCACGAUGAGCCCGCGGCCUAUCAGCUAGUUGGUGAGGUAACGGCCCACCAAGGCUAAGACGGGUAGCUGGUCUGAGAGGACGACCAGCCACACUGGAACUGAGACACGGCCCAGACACCUACGGGUGGCAGCAGUCGAGAAUUUUUCACAAUGGGCGCACGCCUGAUGGAGCGACGCCCCGGGCUGAAUGAAGGGGUUCGAUCCGUAAACCCCUGUCAUUUGCGAACAAUGGUUGAGCAAUAACACUGUUCAACUUGAUAGUAGCGGAAGAGGAAGGGACGGCUAACUCUGUGCCAGCAGCCGCGGUAAUACAGAGGUCCCAAGCGUUGUUCGCAUUCACUGGGCGUAAAGUGUGCGUAGGUGGCCAGCUAAGUUCGCUGUGAAAGCUCGGAGCUCAACUCCCAAAAGUCAUUGAAUACUAUCUGGCUGGAGAAUCGCAGCGGAGACUGGAAUUCUCGGUGUAGCAAAGUGCGAC